rnacentral:rRNA from 1 species
CCUACGGGAGGCAGCAGUGAGGAAUAUUGGUCAAUGGACGAGAGUCUGAACCAGCCAAGUAGCGUGAAGGAUGACUGCCCUAUGGGUUGUAAACUUCUUUUAUAUGGGAAUAAAACGUUCCACGUGUGGGAUUUUGUAUGUACCAUAUGAAUAAGGAUCGGCUAACUCCGUGCCAGCAGCCGCGGUAAUACGGAGGAUCCGAGCGUUAUCCGGAUUUAUUGGGUUUAAAGGGAGCGUAGGGGGAUUGUUAAGUCAGUUGUGAAAGUUUGCGGCUCAACCGUAAAAUUGCAGUUGAAACUGGCAGUCUUGAGUACAGUAGAGGUGGGCGGAAUGCGUGGUGUAGCGGUGAAAUGCUUAGAUAUCACGAAGAACUCCGAUUGCGAAGGCAGUUCACUGGACUGCAACUGACACUGAGGCUCGAAAGUGUGGGUAUCAAACAGGAUUAGAUACCCCAGUAGUC